rnacentral:lncRNA from 1 species
GAACACCUCCCGGCCUUUUUAACCGAGUUCAUGAGAUGUUUGCUGGCUGUUCCUUGAUUUAUCUAAUGGAGUUAGGAUCCUAGGUUCAGAUGUAUGUAGCAGACUCAAGAUUCAGGCACUGGCUCCGGCGAUGAUGACCCGGUGCGGGAAAUUAAGGGGUUUCUGAAGACCAUAAAUCUUCAAAGACUCUUGAUCGUAAGCGAUAGCUGCGAGCUUCGGUGUCAUAUAAGUCCCAAGGCGUACCUGACGACCAUCGGGAUGGGUUAUUGUAGCGAUAUACGUACUCCCCAGCUUGUUCACACCCAGUAGCCUCCACCCCCUCUUUCUCUCACCGCAAGAGGUCUGGCGCCCCAAAUGCCACCACUCUUCCAUCUCAUCAACCUCUUUCUUUUUCUUAUUCGACUUCUUCUUCUUCUCCUUCUUCUUCUUAACACCGCCGCUCAACUUCCUCAACGCCUCUUCUUUCUUUUUCUUCUUCUUCUUCUCCUUAUGCAACAACUUCCCUGAUGAUGAUGAUGGUGAUUGUGUAUCCUCCAAACUCAUCGCCGGAAAAAGCUUACAGAUAUCAUAUUCGGACGACAUCGCCGGAAGAAAGAACGGGUGGGUGUUACCUAUUUUUAAUAGCCAAGAGAGACAAG